rnacentral:sRNA from 2 species
GUAAAGGCCUGGUGGCGUAGUGGUUAACUACUCACUUGGUGUCCCAUAAGGGGCGCGGGUUCGAAUCCUGCAGGGCUCAUUUAACCAAUUUCCACUGUUAAAUCACCAAACAGUACUGGGUGUAACCAGCCCCUUUUAAGGCGCCGGCUAUAACCAGGUGCUAAAUUCUCACUGAUCUUGUGGGGCUAGAACCCUCUGAGUGCAUCAAGUUAGAUCAGUACUGAAUAGAUAAGGUGUUGUGGAGGUGGAGACACCCGCAGGAUAGCGAAUCAUCGUCAAGUGGUGGUUAGUGCAAGCAAGGCUGUGACAGCCAAUUGGUAGGCUGGAAUGCUGAGAUUGGCAGCUGGAAGGUUGGGGGGUUUUAACUAGAACUGAGUAGCUCUGGUGUUAUUCUUAGUGAGAAUCCCACUUAGAUAGACUAGUUAAAGAACCUGGGUGGGUGGCAGCACUCUAGAGGGAAUGAUAACCUCUAAUGAUGAUCUGAGAGGACAGAGGCAGCAGCUGGUUAUAUAGAGUGUUAAAAUAUGUAUAUAGCUCAAGGUGUAAACUGCAGG